rnacentral:rRNA from 1 species
UACGUAGGGUGCAGGCGUUAAUCGGAAUUACUGGGCGUAAAGCGUGCGCAGGCGGCUUCUCAAGUCAGAUGUGAAAUCCCCGGGCUUAACCUGGGAAUGGCGUUUGGGACUGGGUCGCUAGAGUGUGGCAGAGGGAGGUGGAAUUCCACGUGUAGCAGUGAAAUGCGUAGAGAUGUGGAGGAACACCGAUGGCGAAGGCAGCCUCCUGGGCCAGCACUGACGCUCAUGCACGAAAGCGUGGGGAGCAAACAGG